AGGAACAAUUGGAGGGCAAGUCUGGUGCCAGCAGCCGCGGUAAUUCCAGCUCCAAUAGCGUAUAUUAAAGUUGUUGCAGUUAAAAAGCUCGUAGUUGAAUUUCGGGGUUCUACCGUUGGUCGGGCUUUGUCUGUACUGGCGUGUAGAAUUUCUACCUUCUGGGGAACCAUUAUGUUAUUAAUUUAGCGUAGUGGGAAACCAGGACCUUUACCUUGAAAAAAUUAGAGUGUUCAAAGCAGGCUUAUGUCUGAAUACAUUAGCAUGGAAUAAUAGAAUAGGACGGUGGUCCUGUUCUGUUGGUUUCUGAAUCACCGUAAUGAUUAAUAGGGAUAGUUGGGGGCAUUAGUAUUCAAUUGUCAGAGGUGAAAUUCUUGGAUUUAUUGAGGACUAACUUCUGCGAAAGCAUUUGCCAAGGAUGUUUUCAUUAAUCAAGAACGAAAGUUAGGGGAU
rnacentral:rRNA from 2 species